UACGAAGGGGCUAGCGUUGCUCGGAAUGACUGGGCGUAAAGGGCGCGCAGGCGGCUAUCCAAGUCAGGCGUGAAAGCCCCGGGCUUAACCUGGGAGGUGCGUCUGGGACUGGGUGGCUAGAGUUCGGGAGAGGAGAGUGGAAUUCCCAGUGUAGAGGUGAAAUUCGUAGAUAUUGGGAAGAACACCGGUGGCGAAGGCGGCUCUCUGGACCGAGACUGACGCUGAGGCGCGAAAGCGUGGGGAGCAAACAGG
rnacentral:rRNA from 1 species